rnacentral:tRNA from 1 species
GGGCUUAUAGUUUAAUAGGUUGAAACGUACCGCUCAUAACGGUAAUAUUGUAGGUUCGAGCCCUACUAAGCCUA